rnacentral:rRNA from 1 species
GAUGAACGCUGGCGGCGUGCCUAAUACAUGCAAGUCGAGCGAACAGACGAGGAGCUUGCUCCUCUGACGUUAGCGGCGGACGGGUGAGUAACACGUGGAUAACCUACCUAUAAGACUCGGAUAACUUCGGGAAACCGGAGCUAAUACCGGAUAAUAUAUUGAACCGCAUGGUUCAAUAGUGAAAGACGGUUUUGCUGUCACUUAUAGAUGGAUCCGCGCCGCAUUAGCUAGUUGGUAAGGUAACGGCUUACCAAGGCAACGAUGCGUAGCCGACCUGAGAGGGUGAUCGGCCACACUGGAACUGAGACACGGUCCAGACUCCUACGGGAGGCAGCAGUAGGGAAUCUUCCGCAAUGGGCGAAAGCUUGACGGAGCAACGCCGCGUGAGUGAUGAAGGUCUUCGGAUCGUAAAACUCUGUUAUUAGGGAAGAACAAAUGUGUAAGUAACUAUGCACGUCUUGACGGUACCUAAUCAGAAAGCCACGGCUAACUACGUG